AUUGAACGCUGGCGGCAGGCCUAACACAUGCGAGUCGAGCGGAUGAAGGGAGCUUGCUCCUGGAUUCAGCGGCGGACGGGUGAGUAAUGCCUAGGAAUCUGCCUGGUAGUGGGGGAUAACGUCCGGAAACGGGCGCUAAUACCGCAUACGUCCUGAGGGAGAAAGUGGGGGAUCUUCGGACCUCACGCUAUCAGAUGAGCCUAGGUCGGAUUAGCUAGUUGGUGGGGUAAAGGCCUACCAAGGCGACGAUCCGUAACUGGUCUGAGAGGAUGAUCAGCCACACUGGAACUGAGACACGGUCCAGACUCCUACGGGAGGCAGCAGUGGGGAAUAUUGGACAAUGGGCGAAAGCCUGAUCCAGCCAUGCCGCGUGUGUGAAGAAGGUCUUCGGAUUGUAAAGCACUUUAAGUUGGGAGGAAGGGCAGUAAGUUAAUACCUUGCUGUUUUGACGUUACCAACAGAAUAAGCACCGGCUAACUUCGUG
rnacentral:rRNA from 1 species